AGACUGGUUGGAGAUGAUGGAAAGGCAACAGGCAGUCCAGUGAGCACUGGUUCCAACCAAGGAACCACAAAUCAUCCUUUGUUCUAGGCUGAUGAUGAUGAUUGGGAACAGACUGAGGAAGACCACUGAACAGCUGAAACCCUAGAAGCCACAACCCCCCCACCCUUCAAGUUAAAAACGUUCCCACCAGAGGAGAUAUCUGAUUGGCUUACAGAAAACGGCACUACACGUGAAUGCAGCUCAAGCCAGUUGGAGCCAGUUCGGCGCGAGAUGUUUGGUUUAUCAGAUUGAGCAGCUUCACAGAUCCGUGCAUGCAGCAGCGCGUGCACACCGACGAGAAACAGACUAACGUCUGAGACUUUAACAUCAAAUAUACAUAAAUCAUUUAUGAGGCGUGAAUUUUAGAUUUCGCUU